rnacentral:misc_RNA from 1 species
GAUGAAGAACGCAGUGAAAUGCGAUAAGUAAUGUGAAUUGCAGAAUUCAGUGAAUCAUCGAAUCUUUGAACGCACAUUGCGCCCGCCAGCACUCUGGCGGGCAUGCCUGUUCGAGCGUCAUUUCAACCAUCAAGCCCCCAGGGGCUUGUGCUGGGGCCCUGCGGCUGCCCGCAGGCCCUGAAAACCAGUGGCGGGCUCGCUAGUCACACCGAGCGCAGUAGCACAUCUCGCUCAGGGCGUGCGGCGGGCUCCUGCCGUGAAACCCCCCACUGUAACCCCAAAGGUUGACCUCGGAUCAGGUAGGAAUACCCGCUGAACUUAAGCAUAUCAAUAGCGGAGGA